rnacentral:rRNA from 1 species
AUGAAUGGGAAUACUGUACAGUGGCGUUUAACAGGCUUUUAUGGGCACCCCAACUGGAGUGACCGUGCUUUGUCAUGGGAUGAUAUUCGAAAUUUGUAUGAGAAGGGCAAUCACCCAUGGGUAGUUUUAGGAGAUUUUAAUGAAAUUUUGUUAUCAUCAGAGAAAGAGGGAGGGAAUGUGAGACCAAAUGUGAUGAUGAGAGAUUUUCGUAAUUGUUUGGGAGAUUGUGGACUAGCAGAUAUGGGCUGUAUGGGUGACUUAUUUACAUGGAGGAGGGGCGAAAUCAGGGAAAGACUAGAUCGAGCGGUCUGUAAUGUGGAUUGGGCGAAUAAAUUCCCUCGAGCGGCGGUUAUUAACGAAGAACAUGUACACUCAGACCAUCUCCCUAUUAUUUUAGACACGGAAUAG